rnacentral:rRNA from 1 species
ACCAAAUAGAUACCCGGGUAGUCCACGCCCUAAACGAUGCGAACUGGAUGUUGGGUACAUUACGGUACUCAGUGUCGAAAGCUAAACGCGUUAAGUUCGCCGCCUGGGGAGUACGGUCGCAAGACUGAAACUCAAAGGAAUUGACGGGGGCCCGGCACAAGCGGUGGAGUAUGUGGUUUAAUUCGAUGCAACGCGAAGAACCUUACCUGGCCUUGACAUCUGUCGAAUCCUGCAGAGAUGCGGGAGUGCCGCAAGGAACGACAAGACAGGUGCUGCAUGGCUGUCGUCAGCUCGUGUCGUGAGAUGUUGGG